GAGCACAUGGACCCGCUGGUCAAGCGGGCUCGGCAAGGCCAGGAUGAAGAGAAGCUACGAACUUAGCAUUCCCAGAGCCCCCCGAGUGGAUAUCCGCGUGGAAAGGAUGUUGGCAGCCCCGGUGACCUCGGAGUCACGGCUGGAUCCACCCUCUUGUCUGAUUUUCUUAACUCGACUACGGUAAGAAGAUGCCCUCCAUCAGCAGGCCGUGUCUGCUGGCGCCUCUCUGGAGACUUCCUGAACCCUGUGGAUUUACAGUAAGAUGCAGUUUCCUGGGGAGUAAUUCUGGUGGAUACAAAUUCCGGAGUAUUACACCUGGCUUGCCUGGAGAUGUUACAAGUAACUGGAUGGAUUGAUUCUUCAGCCUGGAUGCCCACUGAAAACAAGGACCGAAACUGAGAGGAUUGUAUCUCUACCCUUGACUCAAUGAGAAUGUUUGUUGUCAUCUCUCGGGCUACCUGGAGCUCCCUCUAAAAUAGAGCUGAGUUCUGUCACCACAGACAUUGGCAGUGGCGCUUGCAUGCCCCUGGCAAGCAGUCUGUCCUGAGGUGAAGGAGUUGCCCUUGAGUUCUGGCUGGUAACCAGCACAGGGGCUGGGACACUCCCUGAUUGAGGUGGCCAUUGAGAAUUCAAGUGUACCUCUUGGUCCCUGAUGCAGAAAUGAAGUCCCCAGCAGGCUCAAGAAGAGCUUCCUUGGAGGGUGAGAGGCAUGGGAAUCUUUAAGUAUACCCUUUAAGCGUUCCAGAAGGAUUUUGAGAUCCUUUCCUAAAUCAAAGGUGGAAUAUUUGGGGAUUUGGAAAAUUGAGAUGAGAAGCAUUGACUUAAGAGAUGCCAAGUAACUCAGCAGAUGUCACACAGACGAUAAAUAGCAAAGAUGGAAGUCUUCAUGCCGGAGGUAAUCCUAUAAGACAGCUGAGUUCUGCAGAGCUGGUAGGAGACAGACUUGCUCAGGUGAUAGAUCCAGCCAUGAUACUGACCCUAAGAGAAUGAGACACUCUGCAGAAGACAGAAGAUUCCUGAAACUGGGAAAGGUGCCUAGAAAUCCUAAGAAGAGUGAAGAAGUGGCAGAGCAGCCUUCCUCCGCACUAUGAAAGACAUCCAACAGAGAGCAAGUUCCCACUUUACUUCCAGCUUGACUCCUCUUUAUCUCCUAACUGCGGUCUGUGAUGUCUUCAGCAAUGGUAUUAACUAGUUCUGGGUACCUGGAGGCACAACAGCCAUGUUGAACCUAUGAGGUGAUGAAAAACCAUGCAACUAGAAACCAGAAUGGAAGAAAAGAAGAGGCUGGAUCCUUGACUGAAUUGUCGAUGGGGGACAGUCCAUCAUCCCAGGGCUAAGACCACCUCCAGAUUUCUUGUUUGGUGAAACAAGUCCUGAUUGUUUACAUUCCCUCAUGUUGAGCUGUCUCUUGCUUGUAGCUGAAAGCAUUCCUAAUAGAUAUUCAGAUUAUCAGCCUUAGCUCCAAGCCAGAAUACUCUAUGGGACCUUAGCUUCUCCAUGAAUUCCUUUGCUCAUCUGUGUAAUGCUCAAUAAAUGUAAAUUGAACCCUGAAUGAGGGACAAUG
rnacentral:lncRNA from 1 species